GACGUAGGGCGCGAGCGUUGUCCGGAUUUAUUGGGCGUAAAGAGCUCGUAGGCGGCUUGUUGCGUCGACUGUGAAAACCUGCGGCUCAACCGUGUGGUCUGCAGUCGAUACGGGCAGACUAGAGUGUGGUAGGGGGAGACUGGAAUUCCUGGUGUAGCGGUGAAAUGCGCAGAUAUCAGGAGGAACACCGAUGGCGAAGGCAGGUCUCUGGGCCACUACUGACGCUGAGAAGCGAAAGCAUGGGGAGCGAACAGG
rnacentral:rRNA from 1 species